rnacentral:rRNA from 1 species
AUACGGAGGAUGCGAGCGUUAUCCGGAUUUAUUUUUUUUAAAUGUUGCGCAGGCGGGAUUUUAAGUCAGCGGUGAAAUUUUCAGGCUCAACCUGAACACUGCCGUUGAAACUGGGAUUCUUGAGUAUGGAUGAAGUAGGCGGAAUUCGUUGUGUAGCGGUGACAUGCUUAGAUAUAACGAGGAACUCCGAUUGCGUAGGCAGCUUACUAAGCCAUAACUGACGCUCAAGCACGAAAGCGUGGGGAUCAAACAGGAUUAGAUACCCUGGUAGUCCACGCCGUAAACGAUGAUUACUAGUUGUUUGCGAUAUAUCGUAAGUGACUAAGCGAAAGCGAUAAGUAAUCCACCUGGGGAGUACGCCGGCAACGGUGAA